rnacentral:ncRNA from 1 species
UAACAAAUCUAAGUGUAAUAUUACCAGUAAUUGACCCAUAUUUUGAUCAACGGAACAAGUUACCCCAGGGAUAACAGCGCAAUCCUAUUUGAGAGCCCAUAUCGAAAACAGGGUUUACGACCUCGAUGUUGGAUCAGGACAUCCAAAUGGUGCAACCGCUAUUAAAGGUUCGUUUGUUCAACGAUUAAAGUCCUACGUGAUCUGAGUUCAGACCGGAGAAAUCCAGGUCGGUUUCUAUCUGUAAAUUCAUUUCUCCCAGUACGAAAGGACAAGAGAAAUAGGGCCAAUAUCCAUAAUAAGCCCUAGAAUUAAUAUAUGAAUUUAUCUAAAUAUACUAAAUCAACCCAUAUACCCCCAAGAACAGGGCUAUUAAGAUGGCAGAGCCGG